AUCUCCAUUAGAAAAUAGAAAAUGUGAAUAAAUCAUAUUUAUAGAAGAAUGAAAACCAAUGUGUAUCACUGCGAAGAAUGAAAUACCUUCCCCUAUUUGAUCGACUGAAAACAAUAACAUCAGCACCUAGUCGCAUGGUGCUUGUCUUGAAUCCAUUG